CCAGAGCCAUGAUAUCUGCAGCAGGGGCCGGCUGUCAGUUUGUGGUAACUAUGGCAAUGCCGCCACGCUGCCGGCACUACAACCUGCUCACCAGCGACACACGCAACCUUCCAUAUGCUAGUUCACUAUAUCCAUCCGCCCGUUCACCGCUGUACUGUAGCGUAGGAAGCUAACAUCAGAGAAAUAAACAAUGCAUCAACACCUGCAGUGACGCCGCAGUGUUCAUAUAAAGGUAUCUUUCAUCUGUGCAGAACGACCUUCACUCCAAACAAGGCUUGCAUCCCAAUAGAGAACAAUGGAAUAAGGAGGCUUUAAUUUCGGCCUUUUGGAGUGGCCUGUACGACCGUUUGAAGGAUGAUUUGGCGACGCGUGACUUACCAUCUAAACUGGAUGACCUCAUUUCAUUGUGCAAUAAGGUUGACUUACGAUUCCGUGAGAGGCAAGCUAAGAAGAACAAGGGUGAUCGCUAUCGAUUUUGACCUGCACCACUGGUACCCAUCCCUCCUGCAGUGGAUCCUCCUGAGGAACCCAUGCAACUCAAUUGGGCCUGGCUCACUCCUGAGGAGUGCCUGAAGUGGCUGCGGGAGAACUUUUGCCUAUUUUGCGGAGCACUGGGGCAUAUGGUGGCAUCAGGCACUCAGCGUCUGGGAAACUACUUCUCCUAACUGGGCUAGGAGACACCAGAUUCCGGAGCUGCAGAGAACUUCAUCACGGCAGCCUUGGUCCAGCAAUUUCAAAUUCCUGUGCAGGACUUACCUCAUUCAAUUUCGUUAUCUGUGGUUGAUGGAAGCCACAUUUCCAGUGGAAUUAUUACUCAAUGUACUUUCCCUGUUUCAGUUGGUACUGGUGCCCUUCAUAAAGAGAAAUUAAAACUAUUAGUUAUACCCAAGCGUCACAUGAAAUUGUGCUGGGUUACCCUUGGUUAAGUAAGCACAAUCCAUAUAUUGAUUGGCAGUCCAUGCAAAUCUUGUCGUAAGGAAAGACAUGCUUUACCUCUUACCUGCCGUGUAUUAAGCCGCUCAAUAAAGUUCUUGUUACUUCUUCACCGCAGAUUCCGUCU